CCUACGGGAGGCAGCAGUGAGGAAUAUUGGUCAAUGGACGAGAGUCUGAACCAGCCAAGUAGCGUGAAGGAUGACUGCCCUAUGGGUUGUAAACUUCUUUUAUAUGGGAAUAAAAUGUUCCACGUGUGGGAUUUUGUAUGUACCAUAUGAAUAAGGAUCGGCUAACUCCGUGCCAGCAGCCGAGGUAAUCCGGAGGAUCCGAGCGUUAUCCGGAUUUAUUGGGGUUAAAGGGAGCGUAGGUGGAUUGUUAAGUCAGUUGUGAAAGUUUGCGGCUCAACCGUAAAAUUGCAGUUGAAACUGGCAGUCGUGAGUACAGUAGAGGUGGGCGGAAGUCGUGGUGUAGCGGUGAAAUGCUUAGAUAUCGCGAAGAACUCCGAUUGCGAAGGCAGCUCACUGGACUGCAACUGACACUGAGGCUCGAAAGUGUGGGUAUCAAACAGGAUUAGAUACCCCUGUAGUC
rnacentral:rRNA from 1 species